AUUGAACGCUGGCGGCAUGCUUUACACAUGCAAGUCGAACGGUAACAGGCCUUCGGGCGCUGACGAGUGGCGAACGGGUGAGUAAUGCAUCGGAACGUGCCCAGUCGUGGGGGAUAACGCAGCGAAAGCUGUGCUAAUACCGCAUACGAUCUGUGGAUGAAAGCGGGGGACCUUCGGGCCUCGCGCGAUUGGAGCGGCCGAUGUCAGAUUAGGUAGUUGGUGGGGUAAAGGCUCACCAAGCCAACGAUCUGUAGCUGGUCUGAGAGGACGACCAGCCACACUGGGACUGAGACACGGCCCAGACUCCUACGGGAGGCAGCAGUGGGGAAUUUUGGACAAUGGGCGCAAGCCUGAUCCAGCAAUGCCGCGCGCAGGAAGAAGGCCUUCGGGUUGUAAACUGCUUUUGUACGGAACGAAACGGUCCUGGUUAAUACCUGGGGCUAAUGACGGUACCGUAAGAAUAAGCACCGGCUGACUACGUGCCAGCCGCCGCGGUAAGAC
rnacentral:rRNA from 1 species